GCAUAUCAAUAAGCGGAGGAAAAGAAACUAACAAGGAUUCCCCUAGUAGCGGCGAGCGAAGCGGGAAGAGCUCAAAUUUGUAAUCUGGCGCUUUCAGCGUCCGAGUUGUAAUCUCUAGAAAUGUUUUCCGCGUUGCACCGCACACAAGUCUGUUGGAAUACAGCGGCACAGUGGUGAGACCCCCGUUCAUGGUGCGGAUGCGCAAUGCUUUGUGAUACAUUUUCGAAGAGUCGAGUUGUUUGGGAAUGCAGCUCAAAUUGGGUGGUAAAUUCCAUCUAAAGCUAAAUAUUGGCGAGAGACCGAUAGCGAACAAGUACCGUGAGGGAAAGAUGAAAAGCACUUUGGAAAGAGAGUUAACAGUACGUGAAAUUGUUGGAAGGGAAACGCUUGAAGUCAGACUUGCUGUUCGGAGUUCAGCCGCAAGGUGUACUCUCCGAGUUGCAGGCCAGCAUCAGUUUUUCGGGGUGGAAAAUCACGGUUUGAAGGUAGCAGUUUCGGCUGUGUUAUAGCUUUCCGUUGGAUACAUCCUGGGGGACUGAGGAACGCAGUGUGCUUUUAGCAGGGGUUUCGACCUCUUCACACUUAGGAUGCUGCAGCAUGCGUG
rnacentral:rRNA from 1 species